AGUGAACGCUGGCGGUAGGCCUAACACAUGCAAGUCGAACGGCAGCACAGUAAGAGCUUGCUCUUACGGGUGGCGAGUGGCGGACGGGUGAGGAAUACAUCGGAAUCUACUUUUUCGUGGGGGAUAACGUAGGGAAACUUACGCUAAUACCGCAUACGACCUACGGGUGAAAGCAGGGGAUCUUCGGACCUUGCGCGAUUGAAUGAGCCGAUGUCGGAUUAGCUAGUUGGCGGGGUAAAGGCCCACCAAGGCGACGAUCCGUAGCUGGUCUGAGAGGAUGAUCGGCCACACUGGAACUGAGACACGGUCCAGACUCCUACGGGAGGCAGCAGUGGGGAAUAUUGGACAAUGGGCGCAAGCCUGAUCCAGCCAUACCGCGGGGGUGAAGAAGGCCUUCGGGUUGUAAAGCCCUUUUGUUGGGAAAGAAAAGCAGCAGGUUAAGACCCCGCUGUUCUGACGGUACCAAAAGAAUAAGCACCGGCUAACUUCGU
rnacentral:rRNA from 1 species